rnacentral:rRNA from 1 species
GAUGAACGCUAGCUACAGGCUUAACACAUGCAAGUCGAGGGGAAACGACAUUGAAGCUUGCUUCGAUGGGCGUCGACCGGCGCACGGGUGAGUAACGCGUAUCCAACCUGCCUCUGACUAAGGGAUAACCCGGCGAAAGUCGGACUAAUACCUUAUGAGGUUUUCAGCAGACAUCUAACGAAAACGAAAGAUUUAUCGGUCAGCGAUGGGGAUGCGUCUGAUUAGCUUGUUGGCGGGGUAACGGCCCACCAAGGCAACGAUCAGUAGGGGUUCUGAGAGGAAGGUCCCCCACAUUGGAACUGAGACACGGUCCAAACUCCUACGGGAGGCAGCAGUGAGGAAUAUUGGUCAAUGGGCGAGAGCCUGAACCAGCCAAGUAGCGUGCAGGAUGACGGCCCUAUGGGUUGUAAACUGCUUUUAUGUGGGGAUAAAGUGAGCUACGUGUAGUUUAUUGCAGGUAC